rnacentral:misc_RNA from 1 species
GAAAUGCGAUAAGUAAUGUGAAUUGCAGAAUUCAGUGAAUCAUCGAAUCUUUGAACGCACAUUGCGCCCGCCAGUAUUCUGGCGGGCAUGCCUGUUCGAGCGUCAUUUCAACCAUCAAGCCCCCGGCUUGUGUUGGGGACCUGCGGCUGCCCGCAGGCCCUGAAAAACAGUGGCGGGCUCGCUGUCACACCGAGCGUAGUAGCAUACAUUCUCGCUCAGGCGUGCUGCGGGUUCCGGCCGUUAAACGACCUUCAUAACCCAAGGUUGACCUCGGAUCAGGUAGGAAGACCCGCUGAACUUAAGC